rnacentral:rRNA from 1 species
AUUGAACGCUGGCGGCAGGCCUAACACAUGCAAGUCGAGCGGAUGAAGGGAGCUUGCUCCUGGAUUCAGCGGCGGACGGGUGAGUAAUGCCUAGGAAUCUGCCUGGUAGCGGGGGAUAACGUCCGGAAACGGGCGCUAAUACCGCAUACGUCCUGAGGGAGAAAGUGGGGGAUCUUCGGACCUCACGCUAUCAGAUGAGCCUAGGUCGGGUUAGCUAGUUGGUGGGGUAAAGGCCUACCAAGGCGACGAUCCGUAACUGGUCUGAGAGGAUGAUCAGUCACACUGGAACUGAGACACGGUCCAGACUCCUACGGGAGGCAGCGGUGGGGAAUAUUGGACAAUGGGCGAAAGCCUGAUCCAGCCAUGCCGCGUGUGUGAAGAAGGUCUUCGGAUUGUAAAGCACUUUAAGUUGGGAGGAAGAGCAGUAAGUUAAUACCUUGCUGUUUUGACGUUACCAACAGAAUAAGCACCGGCUAACUUCGUG